UACGUAGGGGGCAAGCGUUGUCCGGAUUUAUUGGGCGUAAAAAGCGUGUAGGCGGUCUGUUACGUCCGCUGUGAAAACCCAGGGCUUAACCCUGGGCUUGCAGUGGAUACGGGCAGACUAGAGGCAGGUAGGGGAGAAUGGAAUUCCCGGUGUAGCGGUGAAAUGCGCAGAUAUCGGGAGGAACACCGGUGGCGAAGGCGGUUCUCUGGGCCUGACCUGACGCUGAGGAGCGAAAGCGUGGGGAGCGAACAGG
rnacentral:rRNA from 1 species